AGUUUGAAUGACAGCUCAUACACCAUCAAAAGUAUAUCAGGUAUUCAACCUACCAUUAAUCAAGGUAGCAUAUAGUAAUAUUUUUAUGUCUAAUAAUGAAAAUAAGAAAAUGUGGUAUAAUUGCCAAUGGGACAACACUCUGCCAUAAACCAAAUAACAUAGAACAGUGGGGGAUCCAGCCAUUUAAAAAGGGGGGGGGGUUCUUAACCCAGGACAAAAGGGGGAGGGGGUUCCAACUAUAUGUCCUCAUUCAAAUGCAUUGAUCGGUCAAAAAAAGGGGGGUUGCAACCACCGGAAUCCCCCCCCCCCCUCUGGAUCCGUCACUGUAGAUUUUAAAACAACAAACAACUAUAGGUCACUGUACUACCUCCAACAAAGGAGAAUUCAUACCAUGUAGUCUGCUAUAAAACUCCCGAGAAUGGCAAAUGUAAUACAAUUCAAAGGAAGAACUAACAGCCUGAUUAAUGUAUAAAACAAUGAAAACAACAACAAACCUAAUAUACAGCAAAAUUAACAAGAUAAAAAGACCUAAUUAAAGAUUCCUGCAAAGUUCAGCAAAGUACAACUUUUCUAAAGGCUUGUAUGCAGGCUUUGGAAAAACCAUUCAAUUAAAUAUCGAUGAAAAUACAUUUAUUUUCCAAAUUCACGAAAUUUGUACCCACAAAAAGGAAUUAAUCCAUGGUAGCUUAUGGUUAUUGCAUCUAAAGCUGUAAUUUGAAAAAGUUGCUUACUUGGAAUUUCCUGAGAGUCCUUUUUAUUUCAGUUAGAUUACAUGGAAAUUAGUAAUUAUGUUAAUUUUCAUCUGUACUAUUAUUACUAUAUUGUGAUGUCAUCUAAACACUUAUGAUGAUUUUCUAUUACAGAUACAGAAGUAUAACGUUAGAAAAGUGUGAAGUUAGAGAAGUGUGAAGUCAAUCAAGUGUGAAUUCAGCGUAAUAUAUUUUCAAAGAAAUUAUAACUACUAGAAUAAUAAAGCAGUGCUAUUUUUAUAUUUGUUGUAUUUACUGGAUAAUGUUCUGUGAUGACAAA
rnacentral:lncRNA from 1 species